rnacentral:rRNA from 1 species
CUGGCGACCGGCGCACGGGUGAGUAACACGUAUCCAACCUACCAUUCUUUCGGGGAUAGCCUUUCGAAAGAAAGAUUAAUACCCGAUAGUCUAGGAAUAAAGCAUUUUAUUUUUAGUAAAGAAUUUCGGUGUUUGAUGGGGAUGCGUUCCAUUAGAUUGUUGGUGAGGUAACGGCUCACCAAGUCUUCGAUGGAUAGGGGUUCUGGGAGGAAGGUCCCCCACAUUGGAACUGAGACACGGUCCAAACUCCUACGGGAGGCAGCAGUGAGGAAUAUUGGUCAAUGGACGAGAGUCUGAACCAGCCAAGUAGCGUGAAGGACGAAGGCCCUACGGGUCGUAAACUUCUUUUAUAGGGGAAUAAAGUGGAGAACGUGUUCUCCUUUGUAUGUACCCUACGAAUAAGGAUCGGCUAACUCCGUGCCAGCAGCCGCGGUAAUACGGAGGAUCCAAGCGUUAUCCGGAUUUAUUGGGUUUAAAGGGAGCGUAGGUGGACGUAUAAGUCAGUUGUGAAAGUUUGCGGCUCAACCGUAAAAUUGCAGUUGAUACUGUAUGUCUUGAGUGUACAAGAGGUGGGCGGAAUUCGUGGUGUAGCGGUGAAAUGCUUAGAUAUCACGAAGAACUCCGAUUG